CGGCCCGGCUCCCCGCGCUGCUCGUGGGCAGGGCGCGCCCGUCGGCCGAUCGCGCGAGCUCCCGCCGAGCAACAAGUCCUGGAGCCUGGAGAGCCCCGAGGGCGGUGGGCCGCGCGACCCCUCCUCGGCCCCAACCCCAGUCAGGAAGGUUGGUUCUGGGGCGCAGCAGCCUUGUCCUCAGAACGAGGAGAUGGCCCAGUCGUGAGGCGCAUACACCCUAAAGAAGCCACUUUAGUUCAUGCCUCGCAACUGACACAAAAAAAGGAAGAAGAAAGUCUCACCUGAAGGAAGUGGCAGGGGUCCUCUGCACCUGAUCUCUGUUUUUGCCUGUGCUGAGGCCAAGCCAAUUGGACCUUUAACUGACCUCUGUGUUCAACAAAAAAGUCAACUAAUGUUCUGGUAACAGUUGCUGAAGUGUGGAAGA